UUCAUGAUAAUUCAGUUGGUAGAACAUAAGACUUUUAAUCUCAGAGUCGUGUAUUCAAUCAAGCCCCACAUUCAGUGAAA